GGCCACACCAACACCAACACACACUCGCACAUCCUCCCUGCGGUGUUUUUCAUCAGAUCCUUGUCUCAGUAUCCGAUCGGGGUCUGAAACUCGCCGCUUGCCGCCCGCCACUCCAGCUGAACUGAGACUCGGCCCAUUAACGUCAGGCCAGCUUCCAGUCAUUUGACCCCCUGUCCUGCGCCCGGCCGAACAGAGGAGAAACACAAGCAUCCUGACCCCACCCCCCUACCAACGCAGUACUGGAACUUUUUAAGAUUGAGCAUGCGCUUAUACACCCCUCACCUAUGUGCCUACACUUGCACUGUCAUACCAACUUUUAAUAACUUCGUUUUAUAUUUUUAAUCUUAUUUUCUGUACUUGCCGUAAUUUUUGGGAAG
rnacentral:lncRNA from 1 species